rnacentral:rRNA from 1 species
AGUUGGAAUUGCUAGUAAUCGUAGAUCAGCAUGCUACGGUGAAUACGUUCCCGGGCCUUGUACACACCGCCCGUCACACCAUGAGAGUCGGGAACACCCGAAGUCCGUAGUCUAACCGCAAGGGGGCGCGGCCGAAGGUGGGUCCGGUAAUUGGGUGAAGUCGUAACAAGGUAGC